rnacentral:misc_RNA from 1 species
GGGGUAUUUUAAAAGUAGUUAUUAAGUUUUUUUCUUUAAAGCUUUUGAAACUUAAUAACACUUUAAGUUAACCUUGUUAAGAUCAUUAAUUUUACCUUUCAAAGAUCCAAGAACAAUUAUUAAAACCUUUUUGAUCAGAUAACUAAUAAACUAACUAACUAGAUCAUUGAUGCAUAAUUAACUGCAUCAAUGAUUUUUUUUUAUUAUUUUUACUGCAAAAAAUGCAGAUUUAUCUGUUCAAACCAAUGAUUUUAAAAGGCUUUUUUUUAUUAUUAAUCAUUGGUUAUUUUUUACUUGUGAUUUUAGCUUUAAUGCUUAUAAAAAAAUCCAAUGAUAAAAGUUUUUUUAGAAAAGUGUUGUGCAAACUGAUUUAUUGUGCUAUAAUCUUUAAGGCUUAUAUAGCUACAUUGUUCUUUGAAAACUGAAUACGACAAAUCUUUCAAGUCCGAAAUUUGAUUAAAGUAUCAAAUCAAAUUUCAUAUAAUAUAGAUUCAAUAAAAAUAGCUAAUGGAUCAAAUACAUAAGUUACUAAGGGCUUAU